UGAAGGGUACGCGCUUACUUGAACAUUGUGGAAUAUGCAAGAUGUAAAUAUUUCUAAAAUGUGAUUACGGAUUCGUUAAUUGUUGUAGAUUGUUAUAUUUUGAUUCAUGAAAGAUAUUAUUUUUAUAUGUUAUCUUUGUAUUUUCUUUCAUAUACAUAACAUCUUCAUGUCAGUCUUGGGCUCGAAAGUCUUUGUGUAAACGUUUUUAAUGUAGUUUUUUUUGUUUGAAGAGCUAAUCAUUAUUAUUAUCACCAAGAAAAAGCAAAUAUCAUGUUAAUCUGUAUGUAGGCUCUAAAAUGAGAAGUAUGUACAUGUAUAAAUGUACAAUGCAAUUAAUAUUGUUUAAAUCUAAGAUAACAAUUAAUGGGGAAAAACAUUGCAGGUAAAAUGAACUGAAAUAAGGCUCUAAAAUGAGAAGUAUGUACAUGUAUAAAUGUACAAUUCAAUUAAUAUUGUUUAAAUCUAAGAUAACAAUUAAUGGGGAAAAACAUUGCAGGUAAAAAUGAACUGAAAUAAGGCUCUAAAAUGAGAAGUAUGUACAUGUAUAAAUGUACAAUGUAAUUAAUAUUGUUUAAAUCUAAGAUAACAAUUAAUGGGGAAAAACAUUGCAGGUAAAAAUGAACUGAAAUAAGGCUCUGAAAUGAGAAGUAUGUACAUGUAUAAAUGUACAAUGUAAUUAAUAUUGUUUUAAAUCUAAGAUAAAAAUUAAUGGGGAAAAACAUUGCAGGUAAAAAUGAUCUGAAAUGAAAUUAUUGAAGACGAAUAAAUUGUUCUGUUUGCGGUUAGCAUGGUUAGUAGUAGCUUUUCCUAUGCAAGUUACCAAGUUUGACUUCUUUAAAGAUACUUUUUGUUUUAGUUAUGGGCGAAGCCAUUAUCGGUGAUCAAUAUUCCACUAAAUAAUUGUUUUUUCACGUGAUCAACCACCAUGAUACCGAAUGCAAACUUUAGGGUUAAACUUGUCAUGCAUGGUUCUUUGUAUUUAAUCUAUUUAAACAAACUGCUAUGUUACUGUUGCCAAAAACAUAAUUUACAAAAGGGGUUUUCGGAACUCCCGUACAGCAAAUUCAUAUCUUAGCUUUAGCUUCAUCACUGCAACAGCAAGAAGCAUUCGUCUUUCAAACUAAUAUUUUUUAUUUCAUUUCCUUCAACAAUAAUUUGUUUACAGACAUAAAGUCUAUGAUUAAAGCUGCACGCCUCCAGAUCAGCAAAAAAAUUUCAAUAAAAUCAAACCUGAAAAAAAAUGUACUAAGAUUUUAAGUGUAAAGAUUCAAAGUUCUAGUAAUAAUUUCAAUGUUAUGUGCGAUUAAUGACCGAUGUUUUAGUAUUUAUAACUAAAUUUCUACUGCGUUACUAACGCAGUAAGGGCUAUUUUUGCAUAUUUUGUCCUCUUUUUAGUAAUUUACGUGGGUUGUAAGUGGCAUAGAUAUUGUGUAAAUUGCUUCCUUUUGGUUAUUUCACUGAAUAAUACUUUUAAACACAAUUUAAAAAUUUUCAUGAAAAUUCGCAUGAAUCUGGUGGGGUGCCGCUUUAAUAAUUAAAUUCACGGUAUUAAAAGUAUAUCGUGGUGCCAUGAAGCUAGAUCUGUAAAUAUAUAAGUAACCAUAGUUAUACAGUUAAUUAUUUCAAUCUACUGGGCCAAUGAUUGCAUUACAAGCAUUGUUCAGUUUUGACAAACAGUUACUUGCAAACAGUACAUGUACCUUCAUAUAAUAAACUUGCAAACCUUUUUAGAGAAAAUAAAAGUUAUCAAACUUUAAUACAUGUACAGUUUUUCAAUGUAAUCAUGAGACUUACUCCAAAUGCAAUGCGUAACUACCAUUGAUACGUUCCAAGUGUUUAUUUUUUGUGAUGCCCUUAAAUUAUGAUAUAUUUGUUUAUAUAAUAUUCAUGGUUGCACAAGUUAUCCUUACUUUUUGAAACAAAUUAUUUAAACUAACAACACGUCCAUGUAUUUGUUUAUUGCAUAUAUUCUUUACAGUACAUGUUUCUAUUACAAAGUUGAACUUCAAAUGUUGUGAUUUAUUCUCCAAUCAUGGUACGAGUAUCAUUACCAUACACGUUAUUUUUAUCUUAUUAAUUGAAUAAUUGUUAUUUAUUUAGCGACAGUGAGGUGAAAAAUUAAAUGUAUUUUAACUUUUUAUCAGUCUGCUGCCAAACAAGCAAAUACUGGUGUAACAAAAUCAUUUUUAAAGAAAAAUUCAAAAGUAUGUGCUGCCUGAAUAGCGAACAGUGUGGACCAUGUUCGGAUGGCACAAAUGUACCGGCUGACCUAGAUUGCUCUGGUGGCAUUGGUGGCAGCAUGUUUAAAGUGACAUUAUGCUCAUAUUUUCAUAGUCAGGUUGAGCUGAAUUGACUUUUUAUUUCAAAAGAUUGACUGUAAAAAUAGUGUUUGACCAACAGUUUAUUUUGGAAAAUGUUUAUGAUAAAAUUAAAAAUCUGCCUAAAAUAUAAAAAGACUCUUUUUAUAACUGAACGUUUCAGGUAAGUUCUAGUUGAAAUUUACAGAAAUUCCGUUUCAAUCCGAGGGUUAUUUAUUGUUUAUAUAAGUAAAUUAUUAAAUUAAAAGGAAUUAUGGUUAUAUAAAAACUUAUUUUGAUUUUCACCUGCUCACUCCCUGUAUACCCUUGAAUGAGCAUAAUGUCACUUUAAGGUUAAACAUGCUUGUUACUGAAUUUCGGGCAUGGAACCUUAGAGUGACAGAUACUGUAACCUCUAGACCACAACUUUCUAGACAUAAUAUGAUUGUAUUCGAUAAAGAGAUCUAGCUGUUGUUGUUUUUUCUCUAUAUAAACUUAUACUUCACAUGAAUAAACCUUACUGUUA